UGGUUCUGGCAUCGAUGAAGAACGCAGCGAAAUGCGAUAAGUAAUGCGAAUUGCAGAAUUCCAGUGAGUCAUCGAAUCUUUGAACGCACAUUGCGCCCUUUGGUAUUCCGAAGGGCAUGCCUGUUCGAGCGUCAUUAUCACCCCUCGAGCCCUGUGCUUGGUGUUGGACGGCUGGUCGAGCGAUCGACCCCUCCUAAAGACAAUGACGGCGGCCUGUGGUUCCCCCGGUACACUGAGCUUUUAACCGAGCACGUACCGGACGAGGGCGCCCAGGACCCGGUCCUCUCCUUUUGUUAGGAAACUUCUGAAGGUUGACCUCGGAUCAGGUAGGAAUACGCGCUGA
rnacentral:misc_RNA from 1 species